AUUGAACGCUGGCGGCAGGCCUAACACAUGCAAGUCGAGCGGUUGACGGGAGCUUGCUCCCUGAUUCAGCGGCGGACGGGUGAGUAAUGCCUAGGAAUCUGCCUGUUAGUGGGGGACAACGUUUCGAAAGGGACGCUAAUACCGCAUACGUCCUACGGGAGAAAGCAGGGGACCUUCGGGCCUUGCGCUAACAGAUGAGCCUAGGUCGGAUUAGCUUGUUGGUGAGGUAAUGGCUCACCAAGGCGACGAUCCGUAACUGGUCUGAGAGGAUGAUCAGUCACACUGGAACUGAGACACGGUCCAGACUCCUACGGGAGGCAGCAGUGGGGAAUAUUGGACAAUGGGCGAAAGCCUGAUCCAGCCAUGCCGCGUGUGUGAAGAAGGUCUUCGGAUUGUAAAGCACUUUAAGUUGGGAGGAAGGGUUGUAGAUUAAUACUCUGCAAUUUUGACGUUACCGACAGAAUAAGCACCGGCUAACUCUGUGCCAGCAGCCGCCGUAAAAC
rnacentral:rRNA from 1 species